CACCCGGUAGCACACGGUGUGCAUCUGCUUAUAGUAAUGGAGUCGGCUUAGCGGAGUGUGCAGAAGACCCCCGUUCGAUUCGGGGUCGGGUGA